GUAUUUUUGUUUCCACACUUUGGUUGACUAAUAGUUUUCCCUCCUAAAUCAAUUUUUCUCAUGUUAACAAAGACUCAUUUUGUCUCGACAAUUUUUAUGGCUGCCAUCUUGAUAUAAUUUAUUGUUUUACUUUCUCUCUUUUUUUAUAUAAAAGAAUUCAUUUUUAUAUUUGAUUCUGUUUACAGAUAACACCAAUUGCUGAUUGAAGUGUCCGGUUUUCACUUUUUGGUUGGCCUUUUUAAUCAUCAUUACAUGUCUACAAAGAGUUAUUCUUUGAAUAUCUAUCAUCACGUGAAGCUACAGCUUGGAAACAAAGGCGUCACCAGAAAAUGAGAAAAGAUCUGAAGGAAACAGAAGAUUACCCAAGAAAUCGGUGAUCGUUCUAAGGAGUGUGAAUCGUUUGGUAAUGAUAUCAACUUCAACAUCAAUAAUUAGAUCAACAGGAGAUCAACACCAACCAUUCGAGUUUAUUUUGUGAUUAAAGCAAAAGUCUUAAAAGAUUUCACGGAUACCUUGUUCUUAUCAUUAUCAUCAUAUCCACGUUAAUCAUCAUAAUGCUCUUAUUCAGUGUUCCGUAAACUUGGCCAAUGAUACUCGGUGAUGGAGCUUACUGAUGGUCAAUUCUGGUUGAUGGCUUGACUGUAUACAUGAUCAUGGAUCAAUAAUGAACCAGCCUUACAUGAAUAAAUCCUAGUAAUAUUAUGCGCUAUGGUUUUUUCAAUUCAGAUUGGAAUUCCUUGGAGUUGAAAAGAUAAAUUCAGUUUAUUAAAAGCUGAUGGAUUUAUUAGCUUUCUUUGAAAAGACAACUUUAAUUUUAUCGAUCAGUCGUUGGUGAACCUUGCCUUCUUUGCAAUUGAAAAAAUUUAUCCUACGAGUUGAAGCUGAUGUUUCACUUUUUUCCGGUUAUUAUCAUCAAACAUGAAUAUUUCAUUACCAUUCAACGGAUGAUUUGUGCAGGUUUUUCAUCUUCCCAGAAAGUUCCAAUUGAUGAUAGAUGGAUUCUGAUAAACAGUUGAAACCAUUGUAUAAAAUGAUGUUGGUUUAAUUGCAAGUGUACCGGAAAUUUUGGUUGACAAAAAUAACGUUUCCCAUCAAUAAAUCAAAACAUUGUUGAAAGUCAAGAGCUUUAUUGCGUCCCUGUGUUUCGUCCAUCUCAACCUGGUGAAAAAAAGUUGAUUUUAACAAUUGUCGAUUUGAUACUUCAUGAUUAUUCUUCGAGUCUUCAGGAAUGGAAUCCAUAAAUCACCAUGAAUCUUACAAAUCCCAUUUAAUCUGAUGGCUUGGAGAUAAUAUUUGGCUUAAUCUUUGAUUGGUAUCCUUUUGCUAUCCAGAUCAGACAUUAAUAAGAUACAAUCAAUUUAUCAAAAUUGGAAACAAUUAAUCACCAACAACAAACAAAACAUUUCCUUUGAAAUUAAAAGGUGUCACACUUGAAACUUAAAUACACUUGUGUAUACUUGACUUGUAGGACAUCUUAAGGCUGACUUGAUUGAUCAAGUUAUAAUGAUAUCGAAAAGAGUGAACGAUGAAAAAAGAAGGAAAUCAAAUGUCUAUUAUCAGUUUGGAAUUGAAUUGUGGAUCCAAUUUAAGUAAAAAUAGCUCUGACCAUUAAGAGUCGUGAAAAAGUGCAUAAAAAUUUGAAACCAAAAACCUGCAAUGAAAAUCAACUCGGUGCCUAAUUUGUGAUCAAAGAAGCAAAAAAAAUGGACCCAGAAUUGGUAUAAAAAAGUUCAAGAGAAAUGUCAAAAUUGAAACAUAUUGUAAAGGAAAAAAACAGAUAAACGGACUUACAAAGAACCCUUCAGAAUCUUGCAAAGGAAGCAAAGGAGAAGGUGAAGAGGAUGAAGAUAAAGAAUAAGAAGGAUAUAAAAAAACGAAUCCAAGAAAAUCUUGAAAAUCUGAAAGAAUCUCUUUGACAGUCAUUCUAAUGGGUUAAAGUAUGUUCUUUAACUUUUCGUUGACUUUUUUUUCAAGAAGAUCCGGAACUUGGAUCCAAUCAAUUUGCAAGCAAGGCUAAACCUUUUAAUAAAAAAAGCUUCAACUUAUCCAAUUGAGCUUAACCUGAAUGAAAUGGUAAAAGUAAACGAGAUUGAAAACAAUUUCCUGGACUCACCUACGCUUCAGCAUUCGAUAUCGUACUCAAAUUAACUUUAUCAUGGUUUCAAUUAAAAUGGAAAAGCUAUUUUGUUACUAGUUAAAAUUAAUCUUGCUCUUGGAAUGAUGAUUCUGAAGUAGUCAAUAACAUGAUGAGCCUGGUAACACAAAGAACAGAACCGAGAACACAUCCUUUUGUUAUUCACUGAUUGAAUUGAAUUUUAAAAUUGAAGACAAGUCAAAGGGUUGAAUUGAAUUUUCAAUGCCAUAAUCAACGUUGAAAAGCUGCACCUGUAUCUACAAUGGAUUCAACGUUUAUAUAAUUAUUUGUAAAACUGAUUGUUUUACAAUAAUAAUAAACACAGAGGAAGAGAAAGCAAAAAGACUGAUCAGAUGGAUUGGGUUAAAAAUUGAGCAAAGAAGAAGAAGAGAAAUCAAACAAUUCUGUAGCUGUUGGAUGAUAAAUUGAUGUUUCUAAACAUAAUGUGGAUGAAGGUUGCACAAAACAAUGGCAGUUAAGUGUAACAAUCAAUAUUGGUAAUGAUAAAAUGGUCAUAAAAAUGGGAUGAAAUGAAAUGGCAGAAUCAAAUCAACAUAUAAUUACAAAUGGUAACUUGAAUGGAUAUUUUCAGCUCUCAUUGUCACCCAUAACUAAAUCAAAUGAUUAACUGGUGAAUGCUUUGCAACCGGAAAUUGUAGUUUCAUUCAAUUUUACUCACCUUGAAUGUUUCGUCAACUUAAUAACCUGGAAUCCUUUGAACCAGAAUGACUGAUGAAGAAAAAUAAAGAACUUGCCAAUCUUACAUUAUUAACAUUAUUAUCUUGAUAAUGAAUAUUCUGAUUUCCAGUAUCAUCAUUAUUUUGAUAUCAUUUUUUUCUUCUUCUUUGCCUGCCAUAAAGGAAGAUGCUUUUGUGUUUGGCUCAAGAUUGACUAAGAUGAUGGAAAACCUUGUGUAUUAACCUCGUUUUUGCCUCUCAUCGUCUUCAUCUUUAAUCAUCAUGUAUUAUGAAGGUAACCCUAUCAAUAAUGAGUACACUCAUUAAUCAACUUUUCCUGCUAUAUAAAUGUGUGUAUGUUACUUACCAGCUUCUCGGACUUUGUCAAAACUAAUGUUGGUCAACCAAUUGUAAUCAUUAUAGCAGUUUAGUUGUCAACUUAAUGAGAUUCAUCUUGCAAAAUUAUCAUCAUUAUAAUGGACGAUUCAUCUUUACUCCAAGUCUGAUUGGGUUGAAAAUUGAAAACUCAAAUGGUACAUCAAACAUUGAUUAAUGUACCAUUUUCCUGUUCAAUUUAAUACACUAAAAUCAAUCUAUUUAUAACAUAUUUCCAUUCCCUUUUCAUCGAGCUUUGCUUCAAGCUAGCUUUUCAUCAUCAUGUUGCUGUUGAAAUAAUUAAUUAGAUUACAGAUUUAUAAUUUAAAUCCAUGUUAAUCUGCCUUAGGAUUUUUUCCACUUGUCUACCAUUAAUUUUAUGUAUUUAAAUCAUCCUCUCUGUAUAACUAACUCUUAUUAACCUGCUUUUUUACCUUGCAAUGUCUUGUUAUAAUUCAUUUCUUUCUGGUCCAAUUGGUACAGAAUUUUGGUGUUUUUUUUCUCUCUCAUUCAAAACUUCAACAUGAUUACAAAGAUGAUAGUCUUCAAUGUAACUCUUGGCGUAAUGCUUGUAAUACGAUUUAUGGUUAAUGUUUGUCAAGUGAACAAUGUUCAAAGAAGUGAUCGUACAAAAAAAGGUAAACUCUCAAAAAAAGAGAGAGAUGAUAAAUAAAUACAGUCAACCUUUAAUUAAUGA